rnacentral:rRNA from 1 species
GUAGCACAGAGGAGCUUGCUCCUUGGGUGACGAGUGGCGGACGGGUGAGUAGUGUCUGGGGAUCUGCCCGAUAGAGGGGGAUAACCACUGGAAACGGUGGCUAAUACCGCAUAACGUCGCAAGACCAAAGAGGGGGACCUUCGGGCCUCUCACUAUCGGAUGAACCCAGAUGGGAUUAGCUAGUACGCGGGGUAGUGGCCCACCUAGGCGACGAUCCCUAUCUGGUCUGAGAGGAUGACCAGCCACACUGGAACUGAGACACGGUCCAGACUCCUACGGGAGGCAGCAGUGGGGAAUAUUGCACAGUGGGCGCAAGCCUGAUGCAGCCGUGCCGCGUGUAUGAAGAAGGCCUUCGGGUUGUAGAGUACUUUCAGCGGAGAGGAACGCGACGGGGUUAAUAACCGUGUCGAUUGACGUUACCCGCAGAAGAAGCACCGGCUAACUCCGUGCCAGCAGCCGC